CUUUUCAAAUAACAAGAGGGAUUUCUCUGAAAUCUGCAUUUUCUUUCUUUAGGAUUCAGUUCAUGCCUCUUAGUGUUGUUGUUUCAUUUAUGCUAGCUUCAUUAACAUGCAGCUAGAACAACAACAGAGGCACAAGCAUGAUGAAGACACUCGAGAGACCUGCAAUAACUCUCUUAUGUCUCCUCCGGCGCCCCAAACAUGCAGCUAGAACAACAACAGAGACACAAGCAUGAUGAAGACACUCGAGAGACCUGCAAUAAG